UACAGAGGGUGCAAGCGUUGUUCGGAAUUAUUGGGCGUAAAGGGUGCGUAGGCGGUGCGGUAAGUCUGUAGUGAAAUCUCUGGGCUCAACUCAGAGUCUGCUAUAGAAACUGCCGUGCUCGAGUGUGGGGAGAGGUGAGUGGAAUUCCCGGUGUAGCGGUGAAAAUGCGUAGAUAUCGGGGAGGAACACCUGUGGCGAAAAGCGGCUCACUGGACCACAACUGACGCUGAUGCACGAAAAGCUAGGGGGAGCAAAACAGG
rnacentral:rRNA from 1 species